rnacentral:rRNA from 1 species
AGGAAUAUUGGUCAAUGGGCGAGAGCCUGAACCAGCCAAGUCGCGUGAGGGAAGACGGCCCUACGGGUUGUAAACCUCUUUUGUCAGGGAGCAAGAACAGGCACGUGUGCCUGACUGAGAGUACCUGAAGAAAAAGCAUCGGCUAACUCCGUGCCAGCAGCCGCGGUAAUACGGAGGAUGCGAGCGUUAUCCGGAUUUAUUGGGUUUAAAGGGUGCGUAGGCGGACUGCCAAGUCAGCGGUAAAAUAGCGGGGCUCAACCCCGUCGAGCCGUUGAAACUGGUGGUCUUGAGUGGGCGAGAAGUACGCGGAAUGUGUGGUGUAGCGGUGAAAUGCAUAGAUAUCACGCAGAACUCCGAUUGCGAAGGCAGCGUACCGGCGCCCGACUGACGCUGAAGCACGAAAGCGUGGGUAUCGAACAGGAUUAGAUACCCUGGUAGUCCACGCAGUAAACGAUGAAUGCUAGCUGUCCGGGACGAAUGAGUCCUGGGUGGCACAGCGAAAGCGUUAAGCAUUCCACCUGGGGAGUACGCCGGCAACGGUGAAACUCAAAGGAAUUGACGGGGGCCCGCACAAGCGGAGGAACAUGUGGUUUAAUUCGAUGAUACGCGAGGAACCUUACCCGGGCUCAAACGCACUACGAAUGAUGCUGAAAGGUGUCAGCCAGCAAUGGCGUAGUGCGAGGUGCUGCAUGGUUGUCGUCAGCUCGUGCCGUGAGGUGUCGGCUUAAGUGCCAUAACGAGCGCAACCCCUACCGACAGUUGCUAACUGGUCAAGCAGAGGACUCUGUCGGGACUGCCGGCGCAAGCUGUGAGGAAGGCGGGGAUGACGUCAAAUCAGCACGGCCCUUACGUCCGGGGCGACACACGUGUUACAAUGGCAGGUACAGCGGGAAGCCACCUGGCGACAGGGAGCGGAACCCGAAAACCUGUCUCAGUUCGGAUUGGAGUCUGCAACCCGACUCCAUGAAGCUGGAUUCGCUAGUAAUCGCGCAUCAGCCAUGGCGCGGUGAAUACGUUCCCG